AAUGGAGUGCCUGAUUCAAAAGGAUUAUUUUGAUAGAAUAAAUCAUACAAUUAAAUUGUCUUCAUUA
rnacentral:tRNA from 1 species